rnacentral:rRNA from 1 species
GGAUUAGGCAUGCAAGUCGAACGGGAUCCUUAAGAUUCAAUUCUUCGGAAGAGAAUUUUUUUGGUGAUAGUGGCGAACGGGUGAGUAACGCGUGGGCAAGCUGCCCUGAAGCUCGGGAUAGCUUCGAGAAAUCGAAGGUAAUACCGAAUGUGAUCGCCUCGCGCAUGUGAGGUUAUUUGAAGGUGGGGAUCUUCGGACCUGCCACUUCAGGAUGCGCCCGCGUCCCAUCAGCUAGUUGGUGAGGUAACGGCUCACCAAGGCAAAGACGGGUAGCUGGUCUGAGAGGAUGGUCAGCCACACUGGGACUGAGACACUGCCCAGACUUCUACGGAAGGCUGCAGUCGAGAAUCUUUCGCAAUGCCCGAAAGG